rnacentral:lncRNA from 1 species
AUAUAUAUUUCAUUUAAAAUAUAAGAUAUACAGUGUAAAUACUUUUCCAAAGCUCAGACAGCCGACCAAAGAAAAAAUGGUGAAAAUUUUAGGGAGGUGGAAUUUGACUCAGUAGCUGCUUUCUAACCAUCAGGACUUUCUUGCCUCAGAAAAAGCUGCUUCUGGGAGCACCUCAUUCUAGAGGUGUUCAAGCAGAGAUUGGGCCUCUUGCUGAAAGUACUGUCAACCACUGCAGGAAAUGUUGGAAUGUGUUUCCUCUAAGUAUGAAGUGAGUCAAAGGUGCUGUUUUGUCAUUUCAUGACAGAGGUUUGGUCUAGAGGAAGCAAGAGGCUUUAUUUCUGAGUCUAAAGAAUUAAAUGAGGAUGAAAUUGGGAUUACAGUAUCUGAUACUGGACUUCUGAUUGUUCGUGUCACAAUUUAAAUCAUUUGUUCACAGUUGGUCACAAGAUCUCAGUCUUUACUGCAUGUUAGGAGUGUAUUCUUUCAAAUAACAGGAAGCGACGCUUUAAGUAACAGCAAUUUACAAUGACUACCAGGCUGAUCCCUGGUCUUUGUCACUGCUUUCCAGUUUCAGUCUGGAGGAAGCGACAGAGAGAGAAGAGAGAAGGUGGGGGAAGCGACUCCAUUACAGUGACGGGUUAUCCCGAGCCUGGCUUCGCCUUAGUGGAAGGGUGAUGAAAACACUUUAAACAGUUGCCAACAGCUCAGUAGAAAGUAUUUGACAUCUCACCUACAUCAACAAGCAAGAGUUAAAGGUUAAAUCACACACACUCAAGUGCUGGGGAAAAGGAUAUGUUUAUGUCAUCAACUUUCUUUGUUCUAGGACCGCCCUAUGUCAACAUGGAGACACAUUCCCCAGUUGGAGCCCCCAGGACAAUAGAGACUGAACCACAAUUUGUGCAUGAGUGACGGGUCAAAUCUCCUUCUAAGCAUUUGUAGUUUGCUUCUAGUUUCAUGGGCUUCUUCAUAGUUCUUUACGUGCUUCCAAGUAGCUACCUAUUUAGAACAAUGUGAUGAUGGCCUUUCCAUUUCCUUCAUCCAGACUCCUGAGCUCCCAAGCACGAAGUUGAGUCUAGAAGGAGGAAAACCCGAGAAGGGGGAGGCUUUUGCUUUUUAGACACUUCCUGUAUUGACUCCAAACUCAGUGAGCACCCACCCUAAAUCCUGCAGGUGGCAGUGGGGCCAGGGAGAGGCACUUUACAUAACUGGUGCUCACACUCUAGAAGGACUUUUCUGGAAAGGCGUUUAGUGUCUUUUGCAAGGAUAUGAGGAAAUUUUGGGCACGAGAUUUCUUGACAAGGUCAAGAAAGAUUCAAACUGAAAUUUGUGAAAUAAAAAAAUAUACCCAGGAAAGCAAUGCAAAACUAUUGCCAUGGAGAUGAACAGGUGUGCCCUGGAAGGAAAAAAAAAAUAGCAUAGGAAAACGUUUCUUAUUUUUUG